AGUGAACGCUGGCGGUAGGCCUAACACAUGCAAUUCGAACGGCAGCACAGUAAGAGCUUGCUCUUACGGGUGGCGAGUGGCGGACGGGUGAGGAAUACAUCGGAAUCUACUUUUUCGUGGGGGAUAACGUAGGGAAACUUACGCUAAUACCGCAUACGACCUACGGGUGAAAGCAGGGGAUCUUCGGACCUUGCGCGAUUGAAUGAGCCGAUGUCGGAUUAGCUAGUUGGCGGGGUAAAGGCCCACCAAGGCGACGAUCCGUAGCUGGUCUGAGAGGAUGAUCAGCCACACUGGAACUGAGGCACGGUCCAGACUCCUACGGGAGGCAGCAGUGGGGAAUAUUGGACAAUGGGCGCAAGCCUGAUCCAGCCAUACCGCGUGGGUGAAGAAGGCCUUCGGGUUGUAAAGCCCUUUUGUUGGGAAAGAAAAGCAGCAGGUUAAUACCCCGCUGUUCUGACGGUACCCAAAGAAUAAGCACCGGCUAACUUCGUG
rnacentral:rRNA from 1 species